GACGAACGCUGGCGGCGUGCUUAACACAUGCAAGUCGAACGAAGAGCGAUGGAAGCUUGCUUCUAUCAAUCUUAGUGGCGCACGGGUGAGUAACGCGUAAUCAACCUGCCCUUCAGAGGGGGACAACAGUUGGAAACGACUGCUAAUACCGCAUACGAUCUAAUCUCGGCAUCGAGGAUAGAUGAAAGGUGGCCUCUACAUGUAAGCUCUCACUGAAGGAGGGGAUUGCGUCUGAUUAGCUAGUUGGAGGGGUAACGGCCCACCAAGGCGAUGAUCAGUAGCCGGUCUGAGAGGAUGAACGGCCACAUUGGGACUGAGACACGGCCCAGACUCCUACGGGAGGCAGCAGUGGGGAAUCUUCCGCAAUGGACGAAAGUCUGACGGAGCAACGCCGCGUGAGUGAUGACGGCCUUCGGGUUGUAAAGCUCUGUUAAUCGGGACGAAAGGCCUUCUUGCGAAUAGUGAGAAGGAUUGACGGUACCGGAAUAGAAAGCCACGGCUAACUACGUG
rnacentral:rRNA from 1 species